UACGUAGGGUGCGAGCGUUGUCCGGAAUUAUUGGGCGUAAAGAGCUCGUAGGCGGUCUGUCGCGUCGGAUGUGAAAGCCCGGGGCUUAACUCCGGGUCUGCAUUCGAUACGGGCAAACUAGAGUAUUGCAGGGGAGACUGGAAUUCCUGGUGUAGCGGUGAAAUGCGCAGAUAUCAGGAGGAACACCGGUGGCGAAGGCGGGUCUCUGGGCAAUAACUGACGCUGAGGAGCGAAAGCGUGGGGAGCGAACAGG
rnacentral:rRNA from 1 species